GCUGGGAGGGCUGAGCUGUGCCCCAUGGAGAUGAAAGGGCUGAGCUGUGCCCCAUGGAGCUGGGAGGGCUGAGCUGUGUCCCAUGGAGGCACAGGCUCAGCCCCUGCCCUGCAUGGAGAUUCUGGCCCUGGGGGAUGCUGGUGUUGCAGUGGAGCAGCUCCCAUAGGUGCAGCCUGAGACCCCCACCCUGCAGUUCAGGUGGGUAGAGCAGGGUGGGCGGCUGCAGCAGCUGGGAUGCUUCAGCCCAUGGGGACCCGUAGGGGACGUAGCCCCACGCUGUGCCUGCAGGAAGGAGUGAAGUGCACAGCAGAGCUGGCGAGAGCCCAAUCCCAACAGCUCUUAAACACUUCUUUUGCCCAGAAAAAGAAGUAGAACCAGUUAAGUGGGAAAUGAAGCUGGGAUUUCAUCAUUACGAUUAUCUUCUGCUCCUAUUCCCCGCCUGAGUUCUUACAAUAGGAGAAAGUAACAGGCUGAGCUUAGAGGUGAUUCUGUGCUCAUCUAUGGAGGAGACAAAGGCAGGGACUGACAGGGGUGAUAAUGCUGAACCCGGGUUGGGUGCUGGUAAAAGACAACCAGAGCGGUGCAAACAGAGCAGCUACAUCAACCAGAGCUGCACAGAGCAGCCACAUGCAGCAGCGGAGCCGCUAAGCAUCAAAGGCAGUAGAUAACUUCGGUCUCCUGUAUCAGCCUUGGGUUUCUUCCUAUUGGGAGAGCAGUCAGAGCCCAGGGAAGACAUCUGGGUUGUGGCUCUGGGGGCUCCUGGAACACAGACCUGCCCUGUAAUGCAGCAGGAAUCCUCGAUGGGUUUUCCUCCAUGGCUUUCUGCAAUGGCUUUUGGCACCAAUACAAACUUCCAGCUCCGUCCUGCAGCAGGGAGCCCCUCAGCUCUGCUGCCCAGUAAAACACUUCCUUCAACCCAAUGGCUUCUGCCAUAGCCCUGGUCCAUGUGGUGAACACACAACCGUGUCCCCACCACCAGCCACCGCAUCCUCCACCUCUUGGCCACCUCUUCCAGCCCACGGAGCCCACUCAGUCCUUCCCUGUGCUGCAUCGUUCCUGUGCUUGUCUGAUUUCUCACGAUGUGGGACAAUAAAAUGUGACCGUGAACACCUCA